CUGCGUGGAAGGGCCAUCGCUCAACGGAUAAAAGCUACCCUGGGGAUAACAGGCUUAUCUCCCCCAAGAGUCCACAUCGACGGGGAGGUUUGGCACCUCGAUGUCGGCUCAUCACAUCCUGGGGCUGUAGUAGGUCCCAAGGGUUGGGCUGUUCGCCCAUUAAAGUGGUACGCGAGCUGGGUUCAGAACGUCGGGAGACAGUUCGGUCCCUAUCCGUCGCAGGCGUAGGAAAUUUGAGAAGACCUGUCCUUAGUACGAGAGGACCGGGAUGGACGUACCUCUGGUGUACCAGUUGU
rnacentral:rRNA from 1 species